rnacentral:ncRNA from 1 species
UUUAAUCGAAGCCAAACUCGUCGUGAGGCGGGGUCGGAAAGCUACAGGUCUUCCAAGUGAAGAUGGCUGGGUUGCAUUG